UCCACUGCUGCUGCUCAGGGGGAGCCUCUUCUUUAUUCACCAUCAGUUGCUGGACGUCUGCAGGACACACUGAAACACAAAUACAUACGUUUAUCAUUUCAGAGUUUCCUGAUGUGUUUUGAAAAACUUGUGUCGUGUCUUGUAAUAUUGACUUUUAUGAUUUUUGAACGAUCACAUUCAGGAAGUAACGAUGUUGAGGUCGUUUACAGUUUGUGUUACGACGCAGCUCGUAAAGGAAGCAGCAUAAAACAAAGAGUUUCUGGUAAAAAAGUGUUUCAUUUUGAGGCCAAAUAAACCAAUUAGGUCACUAACAGAGGAGAACAGGGCGAGGGAAAGUUAGUUCUUUGGUUAAGCUGCUUUCAGACAAGACCUGUGAGUAAAACUCAGAGAAAUGUGUCCAGACUUUCUGUUUCAGACAUGAGCAACACAGCAGCAGGUUUUCUGCACAGACUCGUUCACAACAGCAUCAAAUCCUCCUCAUUAUUCUGCAGAAAGUCUUCAGUGGCAGCGCUGAUCCGCUCUUGUACCGACGCCCGCAGCAGCUGCACUGCGGACAUGUUCCUCCUCUCUGCGCACAGCGAGUCUCUGAGAAAACAAAGAGAGCAAGCGGCAGGAAACUAGAGACUCCGAGCUCCGAGCCAGCAGUGACCCCUGUUGGACUGGAGGACGAAGAGUUAGAGCACACUCGUGAAGAACCCCAGAAGGCCACCGAGGAAGAGAACUCACUGAGGAACAGAUGUGUUUUUCUGGAAGAGAAACAGAU